rnacentral:rRNA from 1 species
AAUGCUGACAUAAGUAACGAUAAAGCGGGUGAAAAGCCCGCUCGCCGGAAGACCAAGGGUUCCUGUCCAACGUUAAUCGGGGCAGGGUGAGUCGACCCCUAAGGCGAGGCCGAAAGGCGUAGUCGAUGGGAAACGGGUUAAUAUUCCCGUACUUGGUGUUACUGCGAAGGGGGGACGGAGAAGGCUAUGUUGGCCGGGCGACGGUUGUCCCGGUUUAAGCGUGUAGGUGUGUGUUCCAGGUAAAUCCGGUUCACUUUAACACUGAGGCGUGAUGACGAGGCACCACGGUGCUGAAGCAACAAAUGCCCUGCUUCCAGGAAAAGCCUCUAAGCAUCAGGUAACAUCAAAUCGUACCCCAAACCGACACAGGUGGUCAGGUAGAGAAUACCAAGGCGCUUGAGAGAACUCGGGUGAAGGAACUAGGCAAAAUGGUGCCGUAACUUCGGGAGAAGGCACGCUGACACGUAGGUGAAGUGAUUUACUCAUGGAGCUGAAGUCAGUCGAAGAUACCAGCUGGCUGCAACUGUUUAUUAAAAACACAGCACUGUGCAAACACGAAAGUGGACGUAUACGGUGUGACGCCUGCCCGGUGCCGGAAGGUUAAUUGAUGGGGUCAGCGCAAGCGAAGCUCCUGAUCGAAGCCCCGGUAAACGGCGGCCGUAACUAUAACGGUCCUAAGGUAGCGAAAUUCCUUGUCGGGUAAGUUCCGACCUGCACGAAUGGCGUAAUGAUGGCCAGGCUGUCUCCACCCGAGACUCAGUGAAAUUGAACUCGCUGUGAAGAUGCAGUGUACCCGCGGCAAGACGGAAAGACCCCGUGAACCUUUACUAUAGCUUGACACUGAACAUUGAGCCUUGAUGUGUAGGAUAGGUGGGAGGCUUUGAAGCGUGGACGCCAGUCUGCGUGGAGCCGACCUUGAAAUACCACCCUUUAAUGUUUGAUGUUCUAACGUGGACCCGUAAUCCGGGUUGCGGACAGUGUCUGGUGGGUAGUUUGACUGGGGCGGUCUCCUCCUAAAGAGUAACGGAGGAGCACGAAGGUUGGCUAAUCCUGGUCGGACAUCAGGAGGUUAGUGCAAUGGCAUAAGCCAGCUUGACUGCGAGCGUGACGGCGCGAGCAGGUGCGAAAGCAGGUCAUAGUGAUCCGGUGGUUCUGAAUGGAAGGGCCAUCGCUCAACGGAUAAAAGGUACUCCGGGGAUAACAGGCUGAUACCGCCCAAGAGUUCAUAUCGACGGCGGUGUUUGGCACCUCGAUGUCGGCUCAUCACAUCCUGGGGCUGAAGUAGGUCCCAAGGGUAUGGCUGUUCGCCAUUUAAAGUGGUACGCGAGCUGGGUUUAGAACGUCGUGAGACAGUUCGGUCCCUAUCUGCCGUGGGCGCUGGAAGACUGAGGGGGGCUGCUCCUAGUACGAGAGGACCGGAGUGGACGCAUCACUGGUGUUCGGGUUGUCAUGCCAAUGGCACUGCCCGGUAGCUAAAUGCGGAAAAGAUAAGUGCUGAAAGCAUCUAAGCACGAAACUUGCCCCGAGAUGAGUCUUCCCUGAGACCUUGAGUCUCCUGAAGGAACGUUAAAGACGAUGACGUUGAUAGGCCGGGUGUGUAAGCGCAGCGAUGCGUUGAGCUAACCGGUACUAAUGAACCGUGAGGCUUAACCUUACAACGCCGAAG